rnacentral:rRNA from 1 species
UACGAAGGGGGCUAGCGUUGCUCGGAAUUAUUGGGCGUAAAGCGCGCGUAGGCGGCUACUUAAGUCGGAUGUGAAAGCCCCUGGCUCAACUGGGGAAGUGCACCCGAAACUGAGUGGCUUGAGUGCGAAAGAGGUUAGUGGAAUUCCCAGUGUAGAGGUGAAAUUCGUAGAUAUUGGGAAGAACACCAGUGGCGAAGCGGCUAACUGGUCCAGUACUGACGCUGAGGUGCGAAAGCGUGGGAGCAAACAGG